UACACGGCAGCACUCUGGCAAAGCAGGUCUCGAAGGAGCCUCAAGCUCUAACCAUACCAUCCGUGGGUUGGCUUGAGUGUGUACCUUAUUCUGCCCUACUUCCCUCAAGGCUUUUCCACAAAAUACCUUGCUACGUGCUGGAGGGACUGCGGGGUGGGGUGAGGCUUUGUGGUGGGGGCUGAGUGCUGCAGACUGAGAGCCAAGCCCUGCUGUCCCAGGGCCCUGGGGUGAUCUGCCCAGGUCCAGCGACCAGAGGCUGGAGGGGAAGGAGUGGAGCAUGUGGUCGGAGCUGGAGGUUUGGGGUUCAAGGCACAGAACCGGAAGCCUCAUUCUUGACUUCAAGGAGUCCACCUGACCAUGAGGAAGAGAAGAUCAUAAAUAGCCAAGAAGUUAGCGCGGCAGGUACCACCACAAGCCCACUGCCCCUAAAGAGCUCCUAACAUCAACCCUGGUAUCACAUGUUGCAGUACCAAUCUUCUACCAGCUGAGGGCGACAGAAUGCCAGAAAUGGAAGGCUGGCGAGCACACACUAGGUGGGGAUUGGAGUACCAACGCCCAGGAGAGCUGGCGACUGACGAACGUGUGUGGACAGUUUGUCUUAAAUAGUCCAACUGCCGAUUUUUAAGUCUCUUGCAACAAAUGGAGCCUUGCUGAUGGCAGCCCUGGAGAUGCGUCCACCACCACUCACCCCAAGGACUGUGCACCCACCGGCCUGUGAUCUUCCUGCAUUAGGCACCAUUGCAUGUGGCUGCAGGAGUCCAGUCCUGCACGUACAAAGGUGUUUGCUGCCAUACAGUAGAAUGAAGCGUGGCAGGUUCUGUGAUCCUUGGAAUGUGUAAAUCCAUUGUGGGAACCUCUGUGAAUUCUGAGGUUAAUCUAAGAAAAAAAAUUAAUAAUAGACCUUUUACUUUAAUGAGCUUUCAUACCCACAAAACCAAUAUUUAACACUAAAAACCUGACCCUAAAAAAGGUAAAACUAUUAAUAUUUCCCCACACCUUGAAGGAGCUGUAAUAAUAAAGAGAGUUGUAAUAAUAAAGCCAUAAUAAUAAAGAAAGUGAGGCUCAGUUAAGGAUCCUGGGUUGUACAGUGGUUACACCUUGGGCUGCCAUCCGUAAGGCCAGCAGUUCGAGGGA